rnacentral:rRNA from 1 species
GUGGAUCGUCGCUGGCCUUUGUGGCGGCUCGAGCCCUAGAGAUCUUCGAUCGUGGAGACACCGUUACAAUGGUUACAAUGACGUGAUGGCGCCGUCAAGGCGUUCCCUGCGGGGUCCGGCGACGACCUGUGGGCUCCCUAUCCGACCCGUCUUGAAACACGGACCAAGGAGUCUGACAAGCUUGCGAGCCAACGGGAGACCAACCCCGAAAGGCGCAAGGAAGCUGAUGAGCAGGAUCCCCCAUCGAGGGGUGCACUGUUGACCGACCCUGAUCUUUUGUGAAGGGUUCGAGUGAGAGCAUGCCUGUCGGGACCCGAAAGAUGGUGAACUAUGCCUGAGCGGGGCGAAGCCAGAGGAAACUCUGGUGGAGGCCCGUAGCGUUACUGACGUGCAAAUCGUUCGUCUGACUUGGGUAUAGGGGCGAAAGACUAAUCGAACCAUCUAGUAGCUGGUUCCCUCCGAAGUUUCCCUCAGGAUAGCUGGAGCCCUAGUUGGAGUUCUAUCGGGUAAAGCCAAUGAUUAGAGGCAUCGGGGGCACAACGCCCUCGACCUAUUCUCAAACUUUAAAUAGGUAGGAUGGCCUGGCUGCUUUGAUGAGCCAUGCCAAGGAAUCCAGGGCUCCAAGUGGGCCAUUUUUGGUAAGCAGAACUGGCGAUGCGGGAUGAACCGAAAGCCAGGUUACGGUGCCCAACUGUGCGCUAACCUAGAACCCACAAAGGGUGUUGGUCGAUUAAGACAGCAGGACGGUGGUCAUGGAAGUCGAAAUCCGCUAAGGAGUGUGUAACAACUCACCUGCCGAAUCAACUAGCCCCGAAAAUGGAUGGCGCUUAAGCGUGCGACCCAUACCUGGCCAUCGGGGCUAUGCAAUGCCCCGACGAGUAGGAGGGCGCAGCGGCUGCUGCAAAGCUUGGGCGUGAGCUUGAGCGGAGCGGUCGUUGG